CCUACGGGAGGCAGCAGUGAGGAAUAUUGGUCAAUGGGCGCGAGCCUGAACCAGCCAAGUCGCGUGAAGGAAGACUGCCCUAUGGAUUGUAAACUUCUUUUGUCAGGGAGUAAAAGGAGCCACGCGUGCCGUUCCGAGAGUACUCUAUGAAAAAGCAUCGGCUAACUCCGUGCCAGCAGCCGCGGUAAUACGGAGGAUGCGAGCGUUAUCCGGAUUUAUUGGGUUUAAAGGGUGCGAAGGCGGGUGGUAAAGUCAGUGGUAAAAUUUGGCGGCUAAACCUAAAAUUGCAGUUGAAACUGGGUGUCUUGAGUGCAGUAGAGGUAGGCGGAAUGCGUGGUGUAGCGGUGAAAUGCAUAGAUAUCACGAAGAACUCCGAUUGCGAAGGCAGCCUACUG
rnacentral:rRNA from 1 species